UCUUCCGCUCAAAAGAACUGUGCUAAAAUUGCAGAUUCCAGGUUCUCCUGGUUUAUGCAAUAAUGCUAGCAGAGUAUCACGUGGAAGAAGAGCAAUAGCCCUGCACCGGAAAUGAAACAGAGUCGGACCUCUUUCUUAAUGUCCAGUGGCUUAUGUUUCAAGGUCCAGAGCAACAUCA
ensembl:snoRNA small nucleolar RNA SNORA81